CCUUAUGGAGCCAAAAACAGCUCCUAGCUCUUCAGCUAUUUAGGUGAGAAGUAUAUGGGUCAAAGCAGGGGAGGUACAUGUAAGUGCUCAAUGAAUAUUAGCUGUUUUUAUUCAUCUGUAUGUUGAAGAGAAUGGACGAGAUGUUCUCUAAGCCCCCUCCUGGCUUUUACAAUUCUCUGCUCUAACGUUAUCAAAACUUUUCCUUUGAGAAGGGGGAAGGGAGACAGAGUUUUUUGGGAACCUCUCUCCACAUCCCUUCCUUAGCAUAGCCAAGCCUUACCCAUGAAGCUGUGAAUAGGAAAUUGAACUUAGGCUGCCUCCUAGAGCAUGGCGCUGAGUUAAGCAGUAUCCGCAGGAAGAAAGGCCAGUGUUAGGCCCUCAGAUUACUCUGGAUGGGCCUGGAGCCCUGCACAGGACUUUGCUCACCUGUCUCUCUCCCGUUUUCUCUGAUCUUGUCUUUCUGUCUUCCUCUUUCUCGUUCCCUGCAAGUCAACCUUACCCUUAACUGCCCUGUGUGCUCCUGCAACUUUGCAACUUUGCAUGAUUUUGUCCAGUGGUUUCUCCUAGAUGCCUCUGCCAUGUUUAUCCUUAUUUAUACGUCUGUCUGUGUGUGUGUCAGUCUGAGUGCAUGUUUGAGGUUCCUGUGUGCAUGUAUGUUUCAGCAUGUCCCUGUUGACAGAUGAAUUUAUGCAUGCACCAGGCUUUGUGGAGUGUGUGUUUGUGCUUGAUAAGUGGGCAUCCAUUCCAACUUAUGUCUACACAUGCACAUCUUUGUGAGUACCUGAUGAGGUGCAUGUGUGUUCCUGCCACCUUUCCUGAAUGUUUGCCAGUCUCUGUCUGUCUGUG
rnacentral:lncRNA from 1 species